AUUGAACGCUGGCGGCAGGCCUAACACAUGCAAGUCGAGCGGAGCGGCGGACGGGUGAUUAAUGCCUAGGAAUCUGCCUGGUAGUGGGGGAUAACGUCCGGAAACGGGAGCUAAUACAGCAUACUAUCAGAUGAGCCUAGGUCGGAUUAGCUCGUGGGUGGGGUAAAGGCCUACCAAGGCGACGAUCCGACACUGGUCUGAGAGGAUGAUCAGUCAGACUGGAACUGAUACACGGUCCAAACUCCUACGGGCGGCAGCAGUGGGGAAUAUUGGACAAUGGGCGAAAGCCUGAUCCAGACAUGCCGCGGGUGUGAAGAAGGUCUUCGGAUUGUAAAGCACUUUAAGUUGGGAGGCGUUAUCAACAGAAUAAGCACCGGCUAACUUCGUGCCAGCCGCCGCGGUAAUUC
rnacentral:rRNA from 1 species